CUUAAAAUAUUAUAUUUAUUAUUUUUUAUUUGCAUUAGAAAGAUUUUUUAGGU
rnacentral:tRNA from 1 species